AACGAACGCUGGCGGCAGGCCUAACACAUGCAAGUCGAGCGAAGCCUUCGGGCUUAGCGGCGGACGGGUGAGUAACGCGUGGGAACGUGCCCUUUGGUACGGAAUAGCCCCGGGAAACUGGGAGUAAUACCGUAUGUGGUCGAGAGACGAAAGAUUUAUCGCCAAAGGAUCGGCCCGCGUUGGAUUAGGUAGUUGGUGGGGUAAUGGCCUACCAAGCCGACGAUCCAUAGCAGGUUUGAGAGGAUGAUCAGCCACACUGGGACUGAGACACGGCCCAGACUCCUACGGGAGGCAGCAGUGGGGAAUCUUAGACAAUGGGGGAAACCCUGAUCUAGCCAUGCCGCGUGAUCGAUGAAGGCCUUAGGGUUGUAAAGAUCUUUCAGUGGGGAAGAUAGUGACUGUACCCACAGAAGAAGCCCCGGCUAACUCCGUGCCAGCAGCCGCAGUAAGAC
rnacentral:rRNA from 1 species